rnacentral:rRNA from 1 species
UACGGAGGGUGCGAGCGUUAAUCGGAAUUACUGGGCGUAAAGGGUGCGUAGGUGGUUGGAUAAGUUAUCUGUGAAAGCCCCGGGCUCAACCUGGGAAGGUCAGAUAAGACUGUUCGACUCGAGUAUAGGAGAGGGUAGUGGAAUUUCCGGUGUAGCGGUGAAAUGCGUAGAGAUCGGAAGGAACACCAGUGGCGAAGGCGGCUACCUGGCCAGAUACUGACACUGAAGCACGAAAGCGUGGGGAGCAAACAGG